rnacentral:lncRNA from 1 species
AUGGGGUUGAAAAGAGUUGGACACAACUGAGCGACUAACAUUCUCACUUUCUCUGUCUGUCUGGGAUUAUUCUCUAGCUGUUUUAGGUGUGAGCAGUUUUCCUCUCCAUUGACUUUGAAGGUGGAAUCAGUGCCUGGCACUUGAUAGAUGGCUCAAAAAUGGAGUGAAUCAAGGAGUGAACAAAUGAAAGUCCGUAAGGCAGAGCACUGGCCUUCUGUUUAUUAUGAACCUCUCGCUGCACUAAGCAGAAGUGUGCUAACACAGUUCAUACUGCCUUUUUUCUUUCAGGCGCUGUGACACUGAUGGCAUGACUGGCCCCCUGAGCACUCCGUCUGUAUCUCUGCCCUUUGCUGGGAAGCUGUGCAGCCUCCACACAGUCUGAUUCUGGGACCCAGAGCUUGCUGUGGCCAACGGGACAGGAACAAACCANNNNAGAGUGCAGCUGUGCGAAACACUUGCCCUCUUUCUCCUCCAUCUCCAGCUCCUGCUUCUUUAUGUGAAUACACCUGGACUAGCCUCCUGGAGGAUGAGAGGCUAUGGAGCUGAAGCAUCAGCCAAGACCCUCGUAAACCAACCAGUCCUCAGCUG